UCGAGAAUCUUUCACAAUGGGGGCAACCCUGAUGGAGCGACGCCGCGUGGAGGAUAAGGUCUUCGGAUUGUAAACUCCUGUCAUGCGUGAACAAGAUUGCCGGGUUAAUAACCUGAGCAAGUUGAUGGUAACGCAAGAGGAAGAGACGGCUAACUCUGUGCCAGCAGCCGCGGUAAUACAGAGGUCUCAAGCGUUGUUCGGAAUCACUGGGCGUAAAGGGUGCGUAGGUGGCGUGGUAAGUCAGAUGUGAAAGCCCGGGGCUCAACCUCGGAAUUGCAUCCGAUACUGCCGUGCUCGAGUACUGGAGAGGUGACUAGAAUUCUAGGUGUAGCAGUGAAAUGCGUAGAUAUCUAGAGGAAUACCAAAGGCGUAGGCAGGUCACUGGACAGUUACUGACACUGAGGCACGAAGGCCAGGGGAGCAAACG
rnacentral:rRNA from 1 species